rnacentral:rRNA from 1 species
UGGGGAAUAUUGGACAAUGGGCGCAAGCCUGAUCCAGCCAUGCCGCGUGAGUGAAGAGGGCCUUCGGGUUGUAAAGCUCUUUUACCAGGGACGAUAAUGACGGUACCUGGAGAAUAAGCCCCGGCAAACUUCGUGCCAGCAGCCGCGGUAAUACGAAGGGGGCUAGCGUUGUUCGGAAUUACUGGGCGUAAAGCGCACGUAGGCGGAUUGUUAAGUCAGAGGUGAAAUCCCGGAGCUCAACUUCGGAACUGCCUUUGAUACUGGCAAUCUCGAGUCCGGAAGAGGUUAGUGGAAUUCCCAGUGUAGAGGUGAAAUUCGUAGAUAUUGGGAAGAACACCAGUGGCGAAGGCGGCUAACUGGUCCGGUACUGACGCUGAGGUGCGAAAGCGUGGGGAGCAAACAGGAUUAGAUACCCCAGUAGUCCCUGAGCGGGCUGGCAAGGCGCAU